GAUGAGACUCCCGACACAUUGUCAGUCAAGUAGUAUACGCUAUAACACGUACUCAUAAUAUGUGUCACUUAUCGAACUCUCUAUAAUCAAAUUUCGGUAAUUUUAUUUUCGUAUAGUUCCGGAGCCAACAUCUCGACGUCGGUCUGGCCGAAGGGUCGCUAUAGGUCGGGAUAUAGUAGAGAAAGUACAGAAAGAUGGGAAGCUUCUUGUUACAUUUGACGAGACAAGUUCGUGAAAGGCGAUUGGUAAAAAGCCAAAUAUUUUAACAGUGCUGUCAGAUUGCAUACAAGAGAUAUGUGACCCAUAUUACAACGCCUAGAAGGACGUGCUUGAAGAGUACAAAAGGAGGAUUCAAAAUCGCAUGCUGAUUGGUUUAACCUCGACUACGACCGCAACAACAGCAUCAUUAGAGAUGUAGUCGACCGUGAAGCUAAUAAAUGUUACAAUGACUGGAAGACUACCUUGCACAGACACUUUCAGGAGAUGAGAGGGGCAGAAAAUGAGGAUUUUGUCAGGCAAAAUCCUCUUAAAAACUUGAGGAGCAAAGAGCAAUGGGGACCUUACUGUGAUCAUUUUACGUCCCUUACUUUUCAGAAAAAAUAUGCUACAAAUCAAUAAAACCGUGGCAAUCAGAAGUGGACUAGCUUCCAUGGUAGAAAGUCAUACUCCCAACACCGUUUCGAUAAGGAUUGGUUUAACCUCGACUACGACCGCAACAACGGCAUCAUUAGAGAUGUAGUCGACCGUGAAGCCAAUAAAUGUUACAAGGUCUGGAAGACUACCUUGCACAGACACUUUCAGAAGAUGGGAGGGGCAGAAAAUGAGGAUUUUGUCAGGCAAAAUCCUCCUAAAAACUUGAGGAGCAAAGAGCAAUGGGGACCUUGUUGUGAUCAUUUUACGUUCCCUACUUUUCAGAAAAAAUAUGCUACAAAUCAACAAAACCGUGGCAGUCAGAAGUGGACUAGCUUCCAUGGUAGAAAGUCAUACUCCCAACACCGUUUCGAUAAGGAGCCAAGAUCAUUAAUUGACAAUUGGGGUGACAUGCACCGUCAUGGGCAGAAUUUUAUCAAUCCGGAUGCGGAACAUGCAUUUAUAAGCUUAGAUGGAUAGAGAAAGAACCACGUAGAUCACACAGUCUGCUGGCGAAGGUUCAUCCAUGCCGAUCAAUGAGGAGGGGAUUAUGUCCCAAUUCUUGUGCAAGCGCAAAGGACACACUAAGGGAGUGGGACCGAUACUACCACGAAGGAAUCGUUCAAGUGCUUCCACCUCAUCAUCUGCUUUGCAAUCGGACGGGUCAUCUUCGGUUAAUUUGCCCUAACAUGUCCAAAACUGGCUGAACAAACUCUACAUCAACCAAUGCAACAUGUUCGACCACCAGCAGAUCAUGAUGGAAGUCAUGCGCUCGAUAAAUCAUAACAUCAACUUCUUGCCAGUUACCCGUCCCCAACCAUUUGUUCCUCCGCCGCCUGAGCAAAACGAAGAAGACGAGGAU